rnacentral:rRNA from 1 species
UGCGUAGGGAGCAAGCGUUAAUCGGAAUUACUGGGCGUAAAGCGCGCGUAGGUGGUGAGGUAAGUCUGUUGUGAAAGCCCCGGGCUCAACCUGGGAAUGGCGAUGGAUACUGGCUCGCUAGAGUGCGGUAGAGGAGAGUGGAAUUCCCGGUGUAGCAGUGAAAUGCGUAGAGAUCGGGAGGAACAUCAGUUGCGAAGGCGGCUCUCUGGACCAGCACUGACACUGAGGCGCGAAAGCGUGGGGAGCAAACAGG